rnacentral:misc_RNA from 1 species
AUGGGACGGCCCGCUGGGCUGUUCCCGCCCCUAUGCCCUUUUUUGGGUUUCCGGCCAGAGGCAUGCUGGGAGCGUCACAUGCAAAUUGAGCGUGCACCCAGCGUUCCGCCCUUUCUACGCUGGGCCGGUUAUCGACCCGGCCCAGUGCGCAGGCGCGGGAAAGUUGAACUAAUAAAGUUUGUACGAGUUCAGUGGAGGAGACCGCAAGUUGAGUGGAGGAGGCGGCGGUGGGGCCCCGGACCAGGUGCCUCCAUGGCAGGCUCUGAAGAGCUGGGGCUCCGGGAAGACACGCUGAGGGUCCUAGCUGCCUUCCUUAGGCGUGGUGAGGCUGCCGGGUCUCCUGUUCCAACUCCACCUAGGUAAGAGGAGUGGCCCUUCUCCCCCAGGGGCCAGCAUUUGAGGCUCCCUCCUAACUCUUGCUCCUGGUCUCAGUCUGUCUCCUCUCUUUAUAUCUGGCUCUAUUCUCUGUCUUUGGGGUUUUGGAGAGAGGUCCUCAGCGGGGGAGGGAGGGAGUUGGGGAAAGAGACUGCUUGCAGGGGAUCUCUGGUGGGGUCAGUCUCUGAAGUCCUCCUCUCCAGAAGCCCUGCCCAAGAAGAGCCAACAGACUUCCUGAGCCGCCUUCGAAGAUGUCUUCCCUGCUCCCUGGGGCGAGGAGCAGCCCCCUCUGAGUCCCCUCGGCCUUGCUCUCUGCCCAUCCGCCCCUGCUAUGGUUUAGAGCCUGGCCCAGCUACUCCAGACUUCUAUGCUUUGGUGGCCCAGCGGCUGGAACAGCUGGUCCAAGAGCAGCUGAAAUCUCCGCCCAGCCCAGGAGGGCAUCCUGGCUGUUUCACCCGUGGACUUGAACUUGCCAUUGGACUGAGCUCUUUCUCAGAAGCUGCUACAAGAUGACACCUCAUGUCCCUGCCCUCUUCGUGUGCUUUUCCAAGUCUUCCUAUUCCACUCAGGGCUGUGGGGUGGUGGUUGCCCUACCUGUUUUUGCCAAAAAUAAAUUGUUUAAAACUUUUCUUAUUAAAAACGUUACAAAGUA